GUCCUUCGUGGUGUAGCCCUAGAAUGGUAAUAGGCUUCUAGACACUCAAAUGGAUAUAAAUGAACAAAGCCAUGAAGACAGAAGAUCUAUUAAGAUGCAUUCCAGGGAGACCAGUGGAUGUGAAACCAAGUGUCAAGGACCGAUACUACAAAUAUCUCCAUAAGGCCACUAAUGUAAACAAAUUAAGAGGCUCAUGAUUUACAAGACUGAAGAAGGGAAACAGGAAAAGAGAGACUUCCUGAGAUAAUCAUUAACACCAGAAAUAAGACUAAAUAACGGUAAGAAGAGAAACAUUUACUCAAUUUUAUCUUCUCAGCCCUUCUGGCAAAAGGCUAACUUGUGUGCAAGGAAGAGGGGAGGGGCACAAUGGAGAUGUCUUUCAGAUUAAUCUUCAAGCAGUGUUUUCAGUUCCCUCAAACAGUGGAAGAUUUAGUUGUGUAUGAAGAUUUUAUUUAGUCUCAAUUACCAUCAUUUCACAUCCCCUAACUCAAAUCUUUCCCUGAAGUUGAGAGCAACAGUUCCUAAUAGCAAAAGCAGGUUCUCCCACUCCAUCAUCAUCAUCAUCAUCUACAGUUCACAGUGGAAAAGCUGAACAAACUUAAGUCACAUUUGAAGGCAGAUGACCUGGAACAUUUGAUGUAGGAAGGGAUGCAAACUCAUCAGGAUUGAAGGGAGAACGCACAUUACUGGGUAGAUCAUAUGAACUAAAAUACAUUUAUCUAGCUUGUUCUCUUCAGAGCUACUGCUGAAGCCUGAAGUCCAAUUUCCUGUUGAGGACAGAGACACCCCUCACCAAUAAACG